rnacentral:rRNA from 1 species
UUAAUGGAGAGUUUGAUCCUGGCUCAGAGUUAACGCUGGCUGCGUGCAUAACACAUGCAAGUUGAACGGGGAUUUUGGCGUAGCAAUACGCUGAAAUUCUAGUGGCAGACGAGUGAGUAAUACAUAAGAAAUCAACCCGGAAGUGGGGAAUAACUAGUUGAAAGAUUAGCUAAUACCCCAUAAUAUAGUUGGGCGGCAUCGCCCGGCUCUUAAAGGUUUUUCGCUUUCGGACGAUCUUAUGGUCUAUCAGCUAGUUGGUAGGGUAACGGCCUACCAAGGCGACGACGGAUAGCCGGCCUGAAAGGGCGACCGGCCACGGGGGCACUGAGACACGGGCCCCACUCCUACGGGAGGCAGCAGUGGGGAAUUUUGGACAAUGGACGAAAGUCUGAUCC